rnacentral:rRNA from 1 species
AGUACUUUCCAGAGAUGGAUUGGUGCCUUCGGGAACUUUGAGACAGGUGCUGCAUGGCUGUUGUCAGCUCGUGUUGUGAAAUGUUGGGUUAAGUCCCGCAACGAGCGCAACCCUUAUCCUUUGUUGCCAGCGGUCCGGCCGGGAACUCAAAGGAGACUGCCGGUGAUAAACCGGAGGAAGGUGGGGAUGACGUCAAGUCAUCAUGGCCCUUACGGCCAGGGCUACACACGUGCUACAAUGGCGCAUACAAAGAGAAGCGACCUCGCGAGAGCAAGCGGACCUCAUAAAGUGCGUCGUAGUCCGGAUUGGAGUCUGCAACUCGACUCCAUGAAGUCGGAAUCGCUAGUAAUCGUGGAUCAGAAUGCCACGGUGAAUACGUUCCCGGGCCUUGUACUUACCG